AGAGUUUGAUCCUGGCUCAGGACGAACGCUGGCGGCGUGCCUAAUACAUGCAAGUCGAGCGAAUGACGAGAAGCUUGCUUCUCUGAUUUAGCGGCGGACGGGUGAGUAACACGUGGGCAACCUGCCCUGUAGACUGGGAUAACUUCGGGAAACCGGAGCUAAUACCGGAUAAUCUUUUAGCCUCAUGGCUUUAAGCUAAAAGGCGCUUCGGCGUCACUACAGGAUGGGCCCGCGGUGCAUUAGCUAGUUGGUGGGGUAACGGCCUACCAAGGCAACGAUGCAUAGCCGACCUGAGAGGGUGAUCGGCCACAUUGGGACUGAGACACGGCCCAAACUCCUACGGGAGGCAGCAGUAGGGAAUCUUCCACAAUGGACGAAAGUCUGAUGGAGCAACGCCGCGUGAGUGAUGAAGGUUUUCGGAUCGUAAAACUCUGUUGUAAGGGAAGAACAAGUGCGUUAGGUAAUGAACGCACCUUGACGGUACCUUAUUAGAAAGCCACGGCUAACUACGUG
rnacentral:rRNA from 1 species